AGCCUCAUCCUACUGCCUUACUAUUGGUCGUCGGCAACCGCUUUGUUAGUUAAUUGGAGAGACUGGAUGUCCAUCAGGGUCACGCUUGCAGGGCAACGAGAGGCAAAACAAGAGGGAAGACGACUUUCCUCCUGUGAGCCAAUGAGGCCAGCUGGACUACGCCGAGACAACUGGGAGAGGCGCGGGACUCGCCCGUUCCGCGGAACGCCGGGAAGGGGUCACCUCCUGAUGAAGUUUCCGGUUCCGGUGUCAGCGGCGGUUGAAUUGCCAUGGCAAUGCGGUGGGCGCGCGCUUGUCGUGUUGGUCUCUUGGGAGGUAGCGGGGCUAGGCCGGGCGGGUAUCCGCCUCUCCCAGCUUAGGUGAGCGUCCCCGGGCGCCUCCGGAGCGCCGCGGCCGCAUGCAGUUCGUCGUGGCGGGGAGCCGGAGCCUGACCGGGGUUCCAGCGCUCGGGCCGUAGCCUUGGCUCCUGGACUUUCCCUGGCUCCGCCGCCACGUGGGAGCUGAGGCUCUGGGGCUUCCGCCUCCGGCGCGCGAUUAUUUCUCUAGAACAGUUUUCAUUUUUAAAAUUUGUAAAGCGCUUUUGCCUGUGUGAUUUCCUCUGGGUUUUUUUUUUUUUUCUUCCUUUUUGUAGAGACGGAAUUGGCGGCGGGGGCGGGGGGUCGAUGUCUCACUUUUUUGCCCAGGCUGGUCUCGAACUCCUGGCUUCAAGGGAUCCUCCUGCCUCGGCCUCUUAAAGUGCUGGGAUUACAGGCGUGAGCCACCGCCCCCGGCCGCCUCUGAGUUUCCAGCCUCGUUGGCCCUCCAGCCUUUUAACCUGUUGGGCCUAGGAUCAGGAAAGGUUUGUUGAAUGGGGAACUAAGAAGUGAAUUCGUUCGUUCGACAAACGUUUCCUGAGCAGCCGCUGGGUGCUAGGCGCAGUGCCAGCGCGGAAUGUCCAGGGAGACCUGGUGCCCAAAGCUUGGACCCAUCGUGAGAAAUGAGAAGCAGAUACAAAGCAGUGUGGGAGUGCAGAGGAGACAAAGCAAGCCUCAUCAGGCCCAUUGCUUGCUCUGCUCUCCCUUGUACUUACCAGUGCUUGACAAUAUACAGUUAUUUACUAGCUUGGUUAUUGACUUCCUACCCAGCACUCAGUUUUAUUCACUGCUGUAUCCUCAGUGCCUAGGACGAUGCUUGGAACGUGGAUUCAUUGAUUCCAGGUAAAUCAGAGGAACAAGCAACAUGAACAGAAAUAUGUAGAAAAAGCUAUUAUGCAGAAGCAUAAUUGUUGUUUCAGAAGUCCAGCAUCUGGUGCACUUAACAAUAGAGAAUAUAUUAAACUCUUUCCAAAAUAAC
rnacentral:lncRNA from 1 species